rnacentral:pre_miRNA from 1 species
AAGUGAAAAGUUCAUCAACCAUCCAGCUGUUUGGGGUAAUACAGACAAACAUCAGGUUUGUUGAGAGAAUUUCUUACUU